GUUCCAGUCUGAAGGUACUUUGCCUGUCUCAAGAGAUUUGUUGAAGAUGAUAGUAAGAAUGUAUGAAGUUAUUUCAAUGUUUUCUUUAAGUAUUUUGCCAGCGAUAGUAUCUGGUCCUGUAGCUUUGUUAGUGUUUAUAUUUUUUAUUAGUUUAUAUACUCCUUCUCUACUGAUGUUUAUUUUUUCCAUUAUAGGGUGUGAACUAGGUUCUUUCGUUGGUAUUUCUAUAUUUUUUUCAGAUGUGAAAGCUGAUUGGAAUUGCUUAUUAAGAAUGUUUGCUUUCUCAGAGGGGUUUGUAUGAAGGGUACCUUCACUUCGUAAUGGUGCAAUGCCGGUGUUCUCAUUUCUUUGGCUUUUAAUAUAUGAGUAUAAUUUUUUGGGUUGCUUGUUGAAACAUUGUUGGUCUGGUUCUUUUAUGUCAAUUUCGAAGAUCAUAUUUUCAAUAUAUGCCCAGUAUGCUUUUCUUAUCUCUUUUUUGGAGUUUAGUCUUUAUCUCUUUGUAUUUGCUGUUGUAGGAUGAGUCAUGUUUUUUCUUUUAGUAAAGUUCGUUUUUCUUUCUUAUGAGUCUUUUUAGGCCUCUAUUUACCCGUGGUAGUUUAGAUUUUUUUCCAAUUUCUUUGGUAGGUAUGUUUUUGUUGAUGGUUUCUGUCGUUUUGGUUUUGAAGGUGUUCCACAGAUCAUCGAGAGUCAUAUUUUUCUAGUUCACUUUUAAGUUAUCAUUAAUUAUUUCAAGAUCUUUCUUUAUGUUCUCCCAGUUUGCUUUUUUGUAAAUAAGUACUUUAUGUGGGUGUUGUUUUGGUGAUGGUAAAGCAAAAUUUAUCUCACAGAAGACAAUGUCGUGGUCACUUCCUCCUAUAGGUGGGAGGGUCUCAAUUCUGUUGACAAAGGAUGGGUUUGUCAUGCACAUUAAGUCUAAUGUUCUAUCAUUUCUGGUUUUUUUGUUUAUUACUUGUGCUAAAUUGUUAUCGUCCAGAAUAUUAAGCAGUUGUUGGUGUAAUUCUGAGUCUGGUUUAUUAGGUACUAUCAAGGUUUUCUCCCAGUUUAUGUGGCCGAGAUUGAAGUCACCACUUAGCCAGAUGUUUGCAUUUGCUUUCUUGCAUGCAGUAUUAAGAGAGAUACCCAUGUUCUCUAAAGAUUCUCCUUUAUCUGAAGGUGGUCUAUAGUACGCACCUAAGUAUAAUGUUUUAUUGUUUGGAGAUGUUAUCUUUG
rnacentral:lncRNA from 1 species